GUAUGCAUAGCUUAUAGUGGUUAGAGCAUCCCUCUGGAUUGAGGUGGUCAUGGGUUCAAAUCCCAUUGCACACA
rnacentral:tRNA from 1 species